rnacentral:rRNA from 1 species
GACGAACGCUGGCGGCGCGCCUAACACAUGCAAGUCGAACGAGAGAGAGGGAGCUUGCUUCCUCAAUCGAGUGGCGAACGGGUGAGUAACGCGUGAGGAACCUGCCUCAAAGAGGGGGACAACAGUUGGAAACGACUGCUAAUACCGCAUAAGCCCACGGCUCGGCAUCGAGCAGAGGGAAAAGGAGCAAUCCGCUUUGAGAUGGCCUCGCGUCCGAUUAGCUAGUUGGUGAGGUAACGGCCCACCAAGGCAACGAUCGGUAGCCGGACUGAGAGGUUGAACGGCCACAUUGGGACUGAGACACGGCCCAGACUCCUACGGGAGGCAGCAGUGGGGAAUAUUGCACAAUGGGGGAAACCCUGAUGCAGCGACGCCGCGUGGAGGAAGAAGGUCUUCGGAUUGUAAACUCCUGU